GUUCCAUCCAGCUGGGGAACGGGGACCUGACUCUUCUGUGCGAGGAGAGCUGUUUUUCCAACAUGACACAUUCAGACUACAAAAACAGACUUAAUGACAAUGCUAAAGUCAUGACUGACCAGAAAGAAAUGGAUCUCUCUGCAGCACAUCAUCUAUGAAUGGAGUGGAGAGCAUUUGCCAGGACAGAGGCAAAACUUGAAGAAGAAGAAGAAGAAGAAGAAGAAGAAGAAGA